rnacentral:lncRNA from 1 species
GGACAACUCCCAGCAGUGUAAGCAAACCUUCAUAUCACAGGCAAGAUGCUUAGCAGGCUCUGGAAAAAAUGCUGCUGCUUGAUUUGGAAGGGUAAGCACACUGGAGCUCACACACGGCAGCGACAUUACUCCCUGAAGCCACACAAAUCCUCAGGGUCAAGAAUAAAUUCACAGCUUGUAUUGCUUGCCCAUCUGGUUUGGCCCACGAUGUGACUGUUGAUCCAGGAGUUGAAGAGAUGGAGACCAAAAUAAGAAGAAACAAAAGCACAGUUAAGAGUCAGGCAAUUUACAACAUGCUAAGACAUUCCAGUGAAGACUGAGAGAGGCUGCAUUUGCUAUUACUCAAGCACAAAUAAACUAUAGAUUUAAUCCUGCA